rnacentral:rRNA from 1 species
CCUACGGGCGGCAGCAGUGAGGAAUAUUGGUCAAUGGUCGGGAGACUGAACCAGCCAAGCCGCGUGAGGGAUGAAGGUACAGAGUAUCGUAAACCUCUUUUGUCAGGGAACAAAGGCGGGGACGUGUCCCCGGAUGAGUGUACCUGAAGAAAAAGCAUCGGCUAACUCCGUGCCAGCAGCCGCGGUAAUACGGAGGAUGCGAGCGUUAUACGGAUUUAUUGGGUUUAAAGGGUGCGCAGGCGGUCUGUUAAGUCAGCGGUAAAAGCCCGGGGCUCACCCCCGGCCCGCCGUUGAAACUGGCAGUCUCGAGUUGGAGAGAAGUAUGCGGAAUGCGCGGUGUAGCGGUGAAAUGCAUAGAUAUCGCGCAGAACUCCGAUUGCGAAGGCAGCAUGCCGGCUCCACACUGACGCUGAGGCACGAAAGCGUGGGUAUCGAACAGGAUUAGAUACCCCAGUAGUC